rnacentral:rRNA from 1 species
CCUACGGGAGGCUGCAGUGGGGGAUAUUGCACAAUGGGGGAAACCCUGAUGCAGCGACGCCGCGUGGGUGAAGAAGAGCCUCGGCGCGUAAAGCCCUGUCAGCAGGGAAGAAAAGGACGGUACAUGAAGAAGAAGCCCCGGCUAACGACGUGCCAGCAGCCGCGGUAAUACGUAGGGGGCAAGCGUUAUCCGGAUUUACUGGGUGGAAAGGGGGCGCAGCCGGCGAUGCAAGCCAGGAGGGAAAGCCCGGGGCCCAACCCCGGGACUGCUCUUGGAACUGCGUGGCUAGAGUGCAGGAGGGGCAGGCGGCAUUCCUGGUGUAGCUGUUCACUGCCUAGAUAUCAGGCG